GGAGUUUGGGCGGUUGAGACCGCAAAAUGAAACACGACGGGAUCGCCGCGGGAAUAAAGUGACACAAAACCGCCGCGCAGCACCGCCGCUUUUUGGAGUCUGUCAACUAUGGCGGAGGAUGACGAUGAUAGCUUUGGCGAUUUCACCUUUGCAUCUUUUUCCACCAAUUCCCUGAAUACCCAAUUCACCCCACCCAAAUCAGUCACCCCCCCUGAAGAUGAUGAAUGGGGUGAUUUUGUCGAAUACCCUAGUGGAUCUGAACCUUCCACUGCAUCCUCCCUCUCCCAAUCGAAACCCUUCGACCCUUUUGGUUUCUCCCCUAAUAGUGCUUCCGUUUCUGAAUCUCCGUCCAAAUCUGAACAAGCCAAGAAGACAACUGGGUGGGUGAAACCUUCUGGGGCUCUUCCACUAUCAUUAUUC
rnacentral:misc_RNA from 1 species